GGAACUUUAGCAGUACUGAUCCCAGCAGAACAAUGAAUAUGGAUUCUACAUAAAAAAAAAAAGGUGGAUUGUAUCACUGUCAGAUUGCUUUCCUAUGUAAGACAUGAGGACAAGCUGAAUCCAGAGAUUAGAAAAUGAAGAUUAAACACCUUUAUGCUUUGGAACUCCUCAUGACCUUGUUGUGUCCCUG